GCGAGGAGGAAGCGGUGCCGACCGGCACUGGGCGCGCGCGACGCGUGGCCGAGACGUGGCAACGCCGAGCCGAGCCUCCUUCUCCUCCCAGCCGCAUCGCCCAUCCUCACUCCUCACUCUAGUGCCGACCAAAGUCACCAAACCGAGAGAGAGAGAGCCCUCGGACUUACCAUCACCCAAGAACUCGUCGCCGGCCGUGAAAAAGAUGAAAGCUUCCAUCGACGUCAAGCCGCCGACGGGAACGCGACCUCGUCUACGGGAGCUCUGGAGCGCGCUCCAAGCAUCCCCGCAGCCGACAUCGUCGUCGUUCCGACCGCUGUAGACCAAGCCAAGCCGAGCCGUCGCACCAACGUCUUCUCCUCAAGAAUCCCAGGCAAUGGCGCAGCAAGUGCGGAGAUCGGCCACCGUCUUCUUCACCUCCGGUCACCGUCGCCGUUGCCGAAUCCACCUCCUCCGUCCAUUGAAGGAAUCAAGCCGACGCCGUUCAACCGGAGUAGAGCGCCGUCGCCAAGCCGUUCCGCAAGCCACCGCUACCGCCAAGACCUCGGCAAACCUCGCUAGACUCACAAUAAAUGCAUAAACGGUGAAGGAGUGGAUUAGGUGCUAACAUUUCUCAAUAUCAAGGCAAGUUUUUCUCCUCCCAUCCUUUGAACACAUUGAAUCCCAUGAUUUGAGGAAUGAAAAUGUUUGUUUGCAAAGUUGCAUGUAAAUUUAGACUAUAUCGGUAUUUAAAAUUGGGAUAAGGUAGUUAUGACCUAUUUGCUGCAUACCCUACCUUGAAUAAUUGUGAUCCUUUCUAUUUGAACCCCUAUAAAUGGUUAGGUUAGAGUACUCUCUUUGAGCUCAAAUGAGUUUAUAUAUGUUCUAUGUGCAACUACUUGCUUAGCCAUGCUUAGAAAUAUGCAAAUGCUUAUUCCAUCUAUGAUUAAAAUGUGAUUUUGACACAUGAACCUUUGCUGGAAUAAAAUGAAUGUGAUGGGUAUUUGUGAACUAAAAUGUGAAUUUAGACUUGGGCGGCAAGUGAUGUGUAUAUAGUGUUUGUUGCAUACCGAUAGGGGGAGUGUUUGCCCAAGUCCGUAAGAACUGAACUUGUGUCACCCACUUAAAGUUAUUUGUAUAUCUACAUGUGCUAGUAUGGGAUGGCCUAGGCUGAUUAAUCUAUUUAGGACUAGCCUUGCAUUCUGGUAGGCCGGUGUGUAUGAGUUAGUCGAUAAUUCUGAGGAAUUAGUCGAUGAUUCAGAGGAACUUACUAUUGACCCCGACGUGGUAGUUUAGGUGACUAAGUCUGUCCAAUACAACGGUAUUGUGCCACUUGGUGGGUUCCCAUCGUGUCCGCCACCACGGCCUUAAGUUUAAGGCAUGGGCCCGCCACUUAACGAUUCUAGGCAUAUUCGAAGUAUGCCUAGGAUAGAGGAACACGUAUCGUGCUGGUGCAAGGCUAGGCUCUAAGUAGUUUAAAGGCUUCGUUAUGACCUCUAGACCACAUUCAUCAUGAAGAGUGUGGUGGAGUCUUGCAAACUCAAAACAAACUAGAGAGUUCAUAUCAUGUGGGUAAAGCUGUACAAACUCUGCAGAGUUCUAAAAACUAAUCGAUUAACCGUGCUCACGGUCAUGAGCGCUUUGGUGAAGUGUCAUGAGUACAGACUCUAUGUUUUAAAAUGUGAACAUGUGACUUGUUAUCAAGGAUAAAAUGUGUUGAGUUGUGUAUGUGGUAAUAUAUUAUGACUUGUUAUCAAGGAUGAUAUCAAGAGAUUGAUUAUGAUGGAAUUAUGAAGAACUUAAUGUUGAAACUUAAAAUUUGUUUUUGUUAAUUGAAGCGUCAAAUCCUUUACAAAAGAAUUGCGAAACAAAACUUACUUUACGCUGAAAUUGAACUACAUAUAGUCUUACUUUGAAUAUAUGCCUUAACAUGUAGUAUGCUAGGAUUGACUUGUGCUUGCCAGUACAUUAACGUGUGUAAUAUACUGACUUUUGUUGUUGAUAUAACCUUUUGCUUCCAAGUAUAUAUUUAGUUGCUUAGUGAUGCGGGUUUCUGCUUCUUCUAGGAUAAGAACUUAAAUGGGGUGAACCCCUAGUCGAUGUGCUUGUGAAUGGGUAGUUAAGCUUCCGCUGUUCUCUAAUAAGUCUAUUUGGCCGAUCGACCUAUGUAUCUCUAAAUUAGUUGUAAAUUUUAAUCGCUUUCAUCUUAUUGUGUGUGCUAUGUAUACCCAUGCUUAGGAUGAAAGUGUGAAUCUAGUGCACAUCCUAGGAGCUAGAUUCACAUGAGUAUGAGUUAAGAAUAUUUGAGAUGUUGUAGAUCUUUAGCUAUUUUGUCAAG